GAGGCCCCACGGCGCGGGCGGCCGGGGCGGCGACGACGGGGGGCGCGGGGGCCUCCCUGAUGCUUGGAGCAGAAAGAAGGCGCUGGUGGCUGGCAACACCUUGGACAGGAGCUGGAGACUAGCCAGAUAAAGAGCACUGAAGAAAUGCUGGUUCCAAAUCCCUGGCAGGGAUCAGAACGCCUCUGCUGUGCUGAAAGCCGACCCGAGCACAGAUGGGGAGCGGGCAGUUACAGGAGCUGCUGUCUGUCUGUCUAGUUGUACAAUGUCCUUCCAUUCGGGACACCAGGUACACCUUUGCAAAUUUAGUGGUCCACGUCGUGGUGUCAGAAUCGCUGCAGACACAAGUCCCCCCUGAGGUGGGCGCCUCGCCCGUUGUCAACUGCACGCCUAAUACAGUGUGCACAGCCGUCACCAGGAAACGCUGCGGCCAGGGCACUGCUGACCUGCUUGCCGACUCACGUGUGGUUCUUAAGUGUCUUUUCAGAAUGCUCGGAGGCUCCUCUCAAGUUUCCUUGCAGAGAACCCUCACAAGGGUGUUGCCUGUAAAUGGCCUGAAUUUCUCAUUUGUACCAGUAGGUUAAAGAAGGAAUCCUCAAACCCCAGCAGCUGAAAUACCGGUUCACUAGUGCGUUUAGCGCAAAGCACGGGCUCAGAGGCCUCCUGCGCAGGAGCCCAGGAGAGGGGAGGUUCCGGCCAGUGAUGAGCGGCCGCGUCCCGCUGGCAGAGAAAGCCCUGUCCGAAGGCUACGCCCGGCUCCGGUACCGGGACACCUCCCUGCUCAUCUGGCAACAGCAGCAGCAGAAGUUGGCAUCUGUGCCGCCCGGGACGUACCUAAGCAGGAGCCGAAGCACGUGGUACUCACAGUACGGAAAUGAGGCCAUCCUCGUCCGGGACAAAAACAAGCUGGACGUCUCCCGGGACACGGGGCAAUCCAAGUUUUGUUCUGUUAUGUAAUUCUGCUGUGAAAGCCUGAGCCCAGGCACCCAGCCGCCUUGCUGAUCCCUAGUCCUUACUGGGAGAUCCUGAACAGUGAACGUGAAGGUUGAGCUGUGGUAGAAGAACCCCAAAAUCCCAGAGAUGGCGCCCCGGCCCAUUCGCAGUCGGGCUGAUGGGUGGACUGGGCUCCUGGACUCCGUUCUGAUCUUGCAGGUGCUGUAGGCACAGGCCAGGUCCGGGGCCCGGCUAGAUGCUGUUUCGGUCAUACUUCCGAAGAAGUCAGGCGGGAGGGACACCCCGGCUACAGACCCACCUCGUCACAUUCUUGCAGACUGUCCUUUAGGUUUCCCUUCUGCCUGGUAAAGAGUGGGUCAGAUCUAGAAGAAGGAGAAGGAAUUGGCAUCACGUCAGGUCGCAGAUCCACGUGCGGGGCCACGACGUGCGGGACCAAGACAGAUUCGCCCUAAACAGCCAUCGGCAGCAACAUUUCCGCAGGGACUUUGUGGCACUUGAGUUUUGAGUCUAGUAACCAAAAUGAUCACUGCGUGUGAUGCACUGUGAUGGCUCCUACACUAGCUUCCUGAUGCUGGAGGUUUGUGGGGCAAAGGCAUCCCCAAAACAUUAAGGAAACCCCCCAAUUAUUAAGUUACACAAAAGCUGCUAACGGUGAUUUCAAAUUGAAUCACAGGGCUGAAAUAGGCAGGUCCUCAGCGGACAGCAGUUCAGCCUCUACUCCGAGGCUGCACCUCCCGGCCACCUGCAGUGUUUGAUGGGCGUGGGCCGUGACCACACACAAGCAGCUUCGGCCCACCUGUGUGGGCAGCUUUAUGAGUCAUUUUUAAAGGAUUUGCUGUCUGCUGUAAUGAAGGUCUGUGUGGCGAGGCAAACGUGGAAGUGUCUUUUGUCAAAGCUGAGUUUUCUUUUCUAAAUAAAUCUCCUUUAGGAGCCGC
ensembl:lncRNA